rnacentral:lncRNA from 1 species
GGAGUGCUUAACCACUGAGCAACAUUUGCAGCCCUUUUUAUUUUUUUUAUCUGGAGACAGGAUCUCACUGAGUUGCUUAGGGCCUCCCUAAGUUGCUGAGGCUGGCUUUGAACACCAUCCUCCUGCCUCAGCCUCCCGAGCUGCCAGGAUUACAGUCGUGCACCAUUGCACCCAGCGAGACUUCUGGCUUUCAGAACCAGAGAGGAGAAGCCAACCUAGCUGAGGUGCUGGAGAGGCACUGGAAGGAGCUAAAUCUCCCAGCCUCCCUUGUGCCCAGCUGGGAAGACAGACUUGUUUUCUCAAGGGCUGGGGAGGAAGAAGUGGUGCCCAGCUGAUCUGGAGUCUUCUGCAGAGGGGCACAGGGAGGGACGCCACAUGUGCUGAGCUGGCGGGCUGGGUGCUGUCGGUGCACAAUUCUGCAGUUUCUGUCUUCAGUGUUCUCACCUUGUAGGAAAGUGGCAGCUCAUGUUCUAACCAGCUGUCCCUGGGUGUGAUGUUUCACAUGAUUUACUAAAGGAAGAGCACAUUGGUUUCUCAACACAAUCACUGCAAGAGAGCCCUGGUGAUGGAUGGAAGAGGCAUCGGCACAGAGGCUGCUGGGACCCUGGCCCUGACCGUGACCAUGGUGCUCUGAGCCACACGGAGUAAGGGAGGACUCGGAGCCCAGAAGCCACUGAGGGGAGACAGAGCCCCUGAGGGUGGAGGAGGGGUGAAAGCGUUUGUGCUUGUCUGUCAAUAGGGGUGGGGGACACAAGUGUGGCGAGCAAGACAAACUAAUCCACUGGGUGGCCCGGGGAAUCUGCAGCUGCGCCUGCCUAGCAUGUGGGGCUGAGACUGGGCGGGGGCAAUGGGCCAUCAGACUCCUUUCCUAACUGCUCAGGCUGUCAUUUCUCAGUCCUCUCACUAAAAACAGCAAUCAACCAGGCGCAGUGGCACACCUGAAAUCCCAGCAACUUGGGAGGCUGAGAUAGGAGGAUCAUCGCAAGUUCAAGGCCAGUCUCAGCAAUUUAGCGAGACCCUAAGCAACUUAGCAAGAUCUUGUGUCAAAAUAAAACAUAAAAAGAAAAAAAAAACAUAGAAAGGGCUGGGGACGUGGCUCAGCAGUAGAGCACCCCUGGCUUCAAUCCCUAGUAGCAGGGGAGGGGGGGAAGACAGAAAUUGUUCCUGCUGCUCUGAGGACACAGUGAGCCUGUCUGCCCUGUGGGGUGGGAGACUGCUGAGGACCAGGGCUCCUGCUAUCCUCCUCUAGCGCCUUCCUCUUGCUCUUCUGAAUCCAUGUGGAAACUUGGGCUUUGUUGCUGUUCCCUGACUGAACCCGGGGUCACAGUGCUCACCCAGCCUUGAGUGAUGCUCAGGGUGGUGGAGCUUGGUUGCCAGGCAAAGUGGCCCUUUCAGGAGUGCUGUGGCGG